UACGUAGGUGGCGAGCGUUGUCCGGAUUUACUGGGCGUAAAGGGAGCGUAGGCGGACUUUUAAGUGAGAUGUGAAAUACUCGGGCUCAACUUGAGUGCUGCAUUUCAAACUGGAAGUCUAGAGUGCAGGAGAGGAGAAUGGAAUUCCUAGUGUAGCGGUGAUAUGCGUAGAGAUUAGGAAGAACACCAGUGGCGAAGGCGAUUCUCUGGACUGUAACUGACGCUGAGGCUCGAAAGCGUGGGGAGCAAACAGG
rnacentral:rRNA from 1 species